AUAAAUAUCAAUGAUGAUCAAAUAAUUGUUAUGAUAACAAAAUGUCAAAGUGGUUUGGCACUUAAAUGGCUGCAUGGUUCCAAAAAAUAUAUCAUUUGCAUGAUUAAAAUUUAAUAAUUUUUCAUUUAUCAAGGCUUAUGAACAAUUUCCUAAACUUAAAAAUGAAUAAAUGUAGAAAAAAGAAAUUAUUUGAAGAUCUUUCUCUUAUAUAUUCAAACAAUUGUCAACAAAUUAUUUGUGACUUUUUGUCCUGUGACUUUUUGUCCUAUCCAAUUUGUGACUUUAUGUCCUGUGACUUUUGUCCUGUGACUUUCUGUCCGUUUACCUUCAAGAAUUGUAUAUUUAUAAAUCCUCGUCCUUUUUAAAAUUACCACACUCUUUGUGAUUACCGUUAUGCUAUUAUGCUAACAGUAACCCGGGACUUGAUUUACAUGUAACAUCAGGGGCGAUUCCAGCCAGGAUAAAGGGGGUCCAAAUAUAUGUCUCCAUUAAAUGCAUUGAUCGUUCACCAAAAGAGGAGUCAAACCCCCGGAUCCCAUCCUCCUUCGAUCCGCCACUGAUUGUGAAUAUAAAUAUAAUUGUUACUUAUUAGUCAUAGACUAGUACUAGCUCCGAGCACCUGUUUUGGGAUAUAUUCAGCUAAUUAACCGUAAAUAACUGCCAGAUAAUGAAUAACAAGUUGAUUCUCUGCUAAUUAAUGUAACCUGCAAUUCACCCUGAUUCAUUUGUGAGACCACCGACACUAAUAAUAUUACCUCAAAGUUAGCAGGUUAGAGGUUCUCCGUUACUUGGAACUUCAUAUCGGAUCCGAUCAAUUUAUUGGUUCCUUUCCCCCUAGUAUUCAUGAUCCAUUUGCAGUGACGAUGACAAUCAUAGUUUAGGGCAAGAAAUAUAGAAGAUAAAGAAAAAUAUAAACAAUUACAACUGUACAGUAGAAAUGAUCGGCAAAACAACAUAAACAAAAGACAACAAGGCCUAAAUGGUGAGACUUCUUGGUUUUCAUGAUCAUCAACAGGUCAAUACAGAAGAGGAAACUUAAGGUUAAUACUUUUCUACAUUGUGUGCUAAUUGGAUUAAUGUGAAAUGAAAUGUGUACUUACCUGGAAAAAGAAAAUAGGAAAUUUCUACAAAAUGGCUGUAAACAAAAUGGAGUAAAAUCAUAGAUGCACAAGAACACAAUUGUGUAAUUGCAACAACCUACAUAUUCACUGAAGGAUUAUGGAGAAAUGUAGAAAAAAUAGUAUUUUGUUGUCGAAAUAAACACCUGCUUUAUCCAUUCAUGUACAAAGCUCUGUCAUAUCAAAUAUACAGAGGAAGACGUUUGAGAACAAAUUGCAAAAAUGUAUUCUCUACCAAUUGAAGGAAGAUGUCUGGUGGAUGUAAUUAUUUAUUCACUGAACUGUUAUGUAGGGGAUUGAAUAAUUGUACGCAGCAGCCUAAACAGAAGAAAAGUUAAAUUAACAUGAAAAGUGGUUAUUUUUUUUAAUCUGCAAAUAUGAGCACAAUAUUAAUUACAUCACAAAUAGUAUGAUAUUCAUAGCGUUUUGCUUGUUAUUGUAUUGUCUCAAACAGCUAGCCUAUUGUUUUGUAUGUCAUGUUACUCAUCAGUGAACAUUUUAUUAAAGUUUUAAUUAUC